CUGAGCAACAAUAAAUCCAUAAAAGAAAAACAAUCAGCAGAGAAGCACGAACGAACUCCCUCUUGUCUCCUCUAAUUAAAAUACUCUUUUCACACUCUCUCCCUGCUUUUCAUUUUCUCCACCUCUGUUAUAACACCACCAUCACUAUUGGAUUAACCACGAUGGUGGUAACAGGAAUCUCCGACGACACUUCUGUGUAGCCGUGGUGUCAAGUCGUGAGCGCUCAUAACUCAAAGGAAAAUCCUACCCUUAUCCAAGCAAAUACUUAAAAACCCAAAUCUAGCCAUGUAGUUUCCAAAUCAAAAACAAAGAUCCAAAGAACCGAAGCCAGAAAACAACGAAAACAAAGGACCCAGAUCAAAGCAUAAACAAGCAAGAGACCUAAAUUUUCAACUCCAAAUUAAACUUAAUACAACAGAAAUCUCAUGUAAUAAUCAUGGGGGUUAUGGUAUAUGAGGCGAUGUGAACAAGGUGGUAACCUCAAAUCAUGCAAAGGAGAAGUUUAAAUACCAAAUCGGAGCUAGUUCGACGUUCGACUCCGGUCAAGGCGAGAGUAACGGCGCUGGAAAAGGUCCCUUUAUCCCAGUGAUGGAUGCUCUUUAUAUAGAGCUUUGGAGGUACGAGGUUUCUCACUCCUGAGCUGGCAAAGAUUCGAAAAAUCUGUUAGGAUCAAAUCCUUUCUAGAUUUUGGUGUGGUCCCAGGAAUGAAGGUGGUGAAAUCUGUUUCUGUUUUGUCCAUAGUGAAAUCUUCAGAAUCAAGUAUCCUGUGUUGAUUUUCUCAUUUACCACUGUGAAAGAUCUACGUGUCGUGGUUUAUUUUCAUGGAGUUUGUCUACUACUAUUUGGUCAAGAUUAUGCGCACAAUAGUGAUGCUCCUACCUGACUUUAAUAUUCGUCCAUCAUGGUUUAUAGCACAAAACAGGACUUCAACAUACGUAUCUGUUCUUGGAGAGAAUGCCCAUAUUUGCUUGACAGAGUUAUGGCAAUUGCAGGGUUAAAACCAACUUAUAGGAUGCCUAGGUUCAGGUAAUUUUAAUGAUGUCCUAUAGAGGUGAUGCAUAUUACUGCAUACUGUUUACCCAAUCCUCCAUUCGUCCUCACUUUAAACUCUUUGUUGGGAUGUUCUCCUCUCAUUGUCACAACCAGGAAUAGCUUGAUGUUCAAAGUUUGAAAUCAUUUUGCCUUGAUCAUUCGGCUGCUACUUGAAUGUGGUGAGAUAUUUAGGCUUUUGAAAAACUCCAGGUUUCAUUCAUCUUCAGUCACAACUUGGCAAGGCACACCUUUCGAAUGACCUUGUGCAUUUUGGCGGACUCUUCCUUCAUAUUCGAUGUAAAAACUCCUUAUCGUGAUCCUGUAAGUCACCACCAAGCCAAUCUAAAUCCAGGUCAAGAAUAUCAUUUGGCGAUAUUUGUAGCUUACUCGACAGCUGUUUUGGAAAUGAUGAGUCUAUGCUCAAAGUGACAAACGAAUUCUUUCUAGCUGGAAAUUUGGAAUUGUUGUGCAAAACUCUUGCCAUUUUUUGGAACGAUGAGUCACAUAUAUAUUUUGCCUUGUAUCCCCUGUAUUGUUUCAAAUAUGUAGAAAUGAACUGUAGUUUGGAAUGGUUAAUACAAGUCUAGCUGUUGUAAGGAUUGAAGUCAUGGUGAAUUCAUGAUGCUUGGCAUGGCUUUGUUGUUGUAGUGAUUCCAGGAUGGUGUAAAGCAACAUCAUUUUGUCCUGUUUGGCCUUAGGUUUGUUUGAUAAUGCGGGACAUUGGCCACAAGGUCUCAUGGUUUCCGGUCGGUAUACCACAGCCACCUCUUGUUCGUAGCCUUGGCUUGUAGCACUAGCUAUCAAUGCUUGCGAAGUGCUAAGUCAUGAUUUCAUCAUGUCGUUGAUACUCAGUCUGGUGCGGUUUCUUGAAGGAAUGUUGACACUACAGGGGUGAUGUACAUUUUAUCAUGUUGGUUCACAAGCUUGCUCCUUUUGGUACAGGGUGGUUGUUAGAAUUUAUGGACAACUUUGUCAUGAUUUUAAAUGGAGGCGAGAAGUAGACUGAGCCAAUAUUGGAGCGGAGUAUAUCUGCAAAAUCUGAAGCUCCCUUCCAAAUGCUACAGACUGUUAGAUUCUUAACUAUCUUGUAGUUUAAGCUAAGUCUCAAAAUGUAUCAUGACACCAAUCUAUAGCAGUCACUUGGCUUAGCAUGAUAUGGAAUUAUAGCUGGUCCGAAUUGCACUUGUAACAUGAUGCUAUGCUUGGUUUUAUGGGGUAUUUCUUUUGGUCAUGUUUGUGACAGGAUGCUAUUGCUCUUGUGCUGCAGGAUCUACAACCCGAAUUCUAUUGUUUGUUUGGCCUAGUUUGGACACGUUCUAUCUGUAUUUGGUGUUUGGUCUGCAGUAAUUGUGACUUGACAAAUGCCGUUUUUUUUGUUGUUGUAGGUUCUGUAUUCAGAGCUGAUGGUGAUAAUUUCAUGUAUUCAACUACCUUUUAUUUUGGGACACAUGGAUUCUUGUUCGCCUUGCCGACACGAUGCUAUUGGCUCUUGGACCCGCCAGUUAUCGCAUGGUACGAGGCGAUACCUUAUAAUGUCUUCGGAGACCAGCGCAAGAAGAGGUCCAGGAAGCCGUCACGGCAAACUGAUGUGCAUUUUUAACUUUAGAAAUUUACCUCUUGCAUUUGGCUUGGUUGUAAUGUCAUUUAGCAACUAGAAUUGCUUAUGAUCAGUUAUAUAAUGUAUUCCUUUUGACUUUUGAAGCAAGUGUUUGUAAAACCCAGAAUUUUGUCCAA